rnacentral:rRNA from 1 species
UACAGAGGUCUCAAGCGUUGUUCGGAUUCAUUGGGCGUAAAGGGUGCGUAGGCGGCGCGGUAAGUCGGGUGUGAAAUCUCGGAGCUUAACUCCGAAACUGCAUUCGAUACUGCCGUGCUUGAGGACUGGAGAGGAGACUGGAAUUUACGGUGUAGCGGUGAAAUGCGUAGAUAUCGUAAGGAAGACCAGUGGCGAAGGCACUCUACUGGGCUAUUACUGACACUCAGAGACGAAAGCUAGGGGAGCAAAUGGG